rfam:Daphnia pulex DAPPTscaffold_6_Cont410, whole genome shotgun sequence.
CAAACGGCCCUUUUCAGGGCCACCAAAUUUUCAAGAAAGGAAAAA